rnacentral:rRNA from 1 species
GACGAACGCUGGCGGCGUGCCUAAUACAUGCAAGUUGAGCGCUGAAGGUUGGUACUUGUACCAACUGGAUGAGCAGCGAACGGGUGAGUAACGCGUGGGGAAUCUGCCUUUGAGCGGGGGACAACAUUUGGAAACGAAUGCUAAUACCGCAUAAAAACUUUAAACACAAGUUUUAAGUUUGAAAGAUGCAAUUGCAUCACUCAAAGAUGAUCCCGCGUUGUAUUAGCUAGUUGGUGAGGUAAAGGCUCACCAAGGCGAUGAUACAUAGCCGACCUGAGAGGGUGAUCGGCCACAUUGGGACUGAGACACGGCCCAAACUCCUACGGGAGGCAGCAGGAGGGAAUCUUCGGCAAUGGACGAAAGUCUGAACGAGCAACGCCGCGUGAGUGAAGAAGGUUUUCGGAUCGUAAAACUCUGUUGGUAGAGAAGAACGUUGGUGAGAGUGGAAAGCUCAUCAAGUGACGGUAACUACCCAGAAAGGGACGGCUAACUACGUG